ensembl:ncRNA Y37E11AL.13 ncRNA
UAUUACAGCUAUCAAAAAGUUGUCAACUAACAAUAUAUAGUAAAUUUAUUUUGCUAUACUUUACUAGUUGGCAACUUUUUCAUGGCUU